UUUACAUAUUUUACGCCCCUUUCCAAUCAGGGAGAUUACUAAAGAAUGAGGCCAGUUCCAACCACGGGCUGCACCCACAGAAAAGGAGUCAGAUGGUGAAGGACAGGAAUUGCCGGGCCGAACCCAGCACCCCGAAAAAACUUUUUAGGAGUUACCAGACCCGGGAUGCGAACCCGGGUCCUUCUACGUUGCACGCCCACAGCGUUAUCAUUCGGCCAUCCGAUCGCCAUUUUUGGCCUUUUUUCCAAGGAAAAGUGAAACAUAAGACAGCAUGGUGUAUCAUCAUGCUGUCUUAUGUUCUCCUAAUAACAACUUUUGAAUUGAUUGGUACAUUUUCAUGAAUUUCGGAAUGCAUUUUCUUCCAUUAAAAUCAUCCUCUUUUUUCAACUCUAAUUCCAACCAUUUAAAAAUGGUGAACGUUCACACC
rnacentral:lncRNA from 1 species